UACGGGGGGGUGCGAGCGUUGUCCGGAAUCACUGGGCGUAAAGGGCGCGUAGGUGGUCUGAUAAGGGUGUGGUGAAAGCCCGGGGCUCAACCCCGGGUCGGCCGUGCCGACUGUUAGACUAGAGUACUGUAGGGGCAGGCGGAAUUCCGGGUGUAGCGGUGGAAUGCGUAGAGAUCCGGAGGAAGACCGGUGGCGAAGGCGGCCUGCUGGGCAGUUACUGACACUGAGGCGCGACAGCGUGGGGAGCAAACAGG
rnacentral:rRNA from 1 species